UACGUAGGGAGCAAGCGUUGUCCGGAAUCAUUGGGCGUAAAGCGCGCGUAGGUGGCCCCAUAAGUCCGCUGUGAAAGUCAAAGGCUCAACCUUUGAAAGCCGGUGGAUACUGUGGGACUAGAGUUCGGAAGAGGCGAGUGGAAUUCCCGGUGUAGCGGUGAAAUGCGCAGAUAUCGGGAGGAACACCAAUGGCGAAGGCAGCUCGCUGGGACGUUACUGACGCUGAGACGCGAAAGCGUGGGGAGCAAACAGG
rnacentral:rRNA from 1 species